AACGAACGCUGGCGGCAGGCUUAACACAUGCAAGUCGAGCGCCCCGCAAGGGGAGCGGCAGACUGGUGAGUAACGCGUGGGAAUCUACCCAUCUCUACGGAAUAACGCAUGGAAACGUGUGCUAAUACCGUAUACGUCCUUCGGGAGAAAGAUUUAUCGGAGAUGGAUGAGCCCGCGUUGGAUUAGCUAGUUGGUGGGGUAAAGGCCUACCAAGGCGACGCUCCAUAGCGGGUCUGAGAGGAUGAUUAGCCACACUGGGACUGAGACACGGCCCAGACUCCUACGGGAGGCAGCAGUGGGGAAUAUUGGACAAUGGGCGCAAGCCUGAUCCAGCCAUGCCGCGUGAGUGAUGAAGGCCCUAGGGUUGUAAAGCUCUUUCACCGGUGAAGAUAAUGACGGUAACCGGAGAAGAAGCCCCGGCUAACUUCGUGCCAGCAGCCGCCGUAACAC
rnacentral:rRNA from 1 species